rnacentral:rRNA from 1 species
CAGCCGCCGCGGUAAUACAGAGGGUGCAAGCGUUAAUCGGAAUUACUGGGCGUAAAGCGCGCGUAGGUGGUUUGUUAAGUUGGAUGUGAAAUCCCCGGGAUCAACCUGGGAACUGCAUCCAAAACUGGCAAGCUAGAGUAUGGUAGAGGGUGGUGGAAUUUCCUGUGUAGCGGUGAAAUGCGUAGAUAUAGGAAGGAACACCAGUGGCGAAGGCGACCACCUGGACUGAUACUGACACUGAGGUGCGAAAGCGUGGGGAGCAAACAGGAUUAGAUACCCCCGUAGUCCCUGUCUCUUAUAC